UCUCUGGUAGUAUAUCGGAUAGUACACCCGCCUGUCAUGUUGAAGCACGGCCGCGGGAAAGCGGGGUUCGAUUCCCCGCCAGAGAG